CCGGUAGUUGAAAUGGCUUUCCCUCCAGAGUGGAUCCUGAGUACGGCGGAACACGUGAAAUUCCGUCGGAAUCCGGGAGGACCAUCUCCCAAGGCUAAAUACUCCCUAGUGACCGAUAGUGAACCAGUACCGUGAGGGAAAGGUGAAAAGCACCCCGGAAGGGGAGUGAAACAGUUCCUGAAACCGUGUGCCUACAAGUAGUUAGAGCCCGUUAAUGGGUGAUAGCGUGCCUUUUGUAGAAUGAACCGGCGAGUUACGAUUUGUUGCAAGGUUAAGCGGAAAAAGCGGAGCCGUAGCGAAAGCGAGUCUGAAUAGGGCGCAUAAGUAACAGGUCGUAGACCCGAAACCAGGUGAUCUACCCAUGUCCAGGAUGAAGGUAAGGUAAUACUUACUGGAGGUCCGAACCCACGCACGUUGAAAAGUGCGGGGAUGAGGUGUGGGUAGCGGAGAAAUUCCAAUCGAACUUGGAGAUAGCUGGUUCUCUCCGAAAUAGCUUUAGGGCUAGCCUCGAGGUAAAGAGUCAUGGAGGUAGAGCACUGUUUGGACUAGGGGCCCUUCUCGGGUUACCGAAUUCAGAUAAACUCCGAAUGCCAUGUACUUAUACUCGGGAGUCAGACUGCGAGUGAUAAGAUCCGUAGUCGAAAGGGAAACAGCCCAGACCACCAGUUAAGGUCCCCAAAUAUAUGUUAAGUGGAAAAGGAUGUGGGGUUGCUUAGACAACCAGGAUGUUGGCUUAGAAGCAGCCACCAUUGAAAGAGUGCGUAAUAGCUCACUGGUCGAGUGACCCCGCGCCGAAAAUGUACCGGGGCUAAACAUAUUACCGAAACUGUGGAUGAACCUCUUCGGAGGUUCGUGGUAGGAGAGCGUUCUAAGGGCGGUGAAGUCAGACCGGAAGGACUGGUGGAGCGCUUAGAAGUGAGAAUGCCGGUAUGAGUAGCGAAAGAAGGGUGAGAAUCCCUUCCACCGAAUAUCUAAGGUUUCCUGAGGAAGGCUCGUCCGCUCAGGGUUAGUCGGGACCUAAGCCGAGGCCGAUAGGCGUAGGCGAUGGACAACAGGUAGAGAUUCCUGUACCAGUGCUAAUUGUUUAACCGAUGGGGUGACACAGAAGGAUAGGGAAUCGCACGAAUGGAAAUGUGCGUCCAAGCAGUGAGUGUGAGAAGUAGGCAAAUCCGCUUCUCGCGAAGCAUGAGCUGUGAUGGGGAAGGAAAUUAAGUACGGAAGUUCCUGAUUUCACGCUGUCAAGAAAAGCCUCUAGGAAGAGUAGUACUGCCCGUACCGCAAACCGACACAGGUAGAUGAGGAGAGAAUCCUAAGGUGAGCGAGAGAACUCUCGUUAAGGAACUCGGCAAAAUGACCCCGUAACUUCGGGAGAAGGGGUGCUCUAUUAGGGUGCAAGCCCGAGAGAGCCGCAGUGAAUAGGCCCAGGCGACUGUUUAGCAAAAACACAGGUCUCUGCAAAACCGUAAGGUGACGUAUAGGGGCUGACGCCUGCCCGGUGCUGGAAGGUUAAGAGGAGUGCUUAGCUUCGGCGAAGGUACGAAUUGAAGCCCCAGUAAACGGCGGCCGUAACUAUAACGGUCCUAAGGUAGCGAAAUUCCUUGUCGGGUAAGUUCCGACCCGCACGAAAGGCGCAACGAUCUGGGCACUGUCUCAACGAGAGACUCGGUGAAAUUAUAGUACCUGUGAAGAUGCAGGUUACCCGCGACAGGACGGAAAGACCCCGUGGAGCUUUACUGCAACCUGAUAUGGAAUGUUUGUACCGCUUGUACAGGAUAGGUAGGAGCCGAAGAGACGUGUGCGCUAGCAUACGAGGAGGCAAUGGUGGGAUACUACCCUGGCUGUAUGACCAUUCUAACCCGCCACGCUUAGCGCGUGGGGAGACAGUGUCAGGUGGGCAGUUUGACUGGGGCGGUCGCCUCCUAAAGAGUAACGGAGGCGCCCAAAGGUUCCCUCAGAAUGGAUGGAAAUCAUUCGCAGAGUGUAAAGGCACAAGGGAGCUUGACUGCGAGACUGACAAGUCGAGCAGGGACGAAAGUCGGGCUUAGUGAUCCGGUGGUUCCGCAUGGAAGGGCCAUCGCUCAACGGAUAAAAGCUACCCCGGGGAUAACAGGCUUAUCUCCCCCAAGAGUCCACAUCGACGGGGAGGUUUGGCACCUCGAUGUCGGCUCGUCGCAUCCUGGGGCUGUAGUCGGUCCCAAGGGUUGGGCUGUUCGCCCAUUAAAGCGGCACGCGAGCUGGGUUCAGAACGUCGUGAGACAGUUCGGUCCCUAUCCGUCGCGGGCGCAGGAAAUUUGAGAGGAGCUGUCCUUAGUACGAGAGGACCGGGAUGGACACACCGCUGGUGUACCAGUUGUUCCGCCAGGAGCAUCGCUGGGUAGCUAUGUGUGGCAGGGAUAAACGCUGAAAGCAUCUAAGCGUGAAGCCCCCCUCAAGAUGAGAUUUCCCAUUUCUUCGGAAAGUAAGAUCCCUGAAAGAUGAUCAGGUAGAUAGGUUUGGAGUGGAAGUGUAGCGAUACAUGGAGCGGACAAAUACUAAUCGAUCGAGGACUUAACCAA
rnacentral:rRNA from 1 species